rnacentral:lncRNA from 1 species
AUUUCUAAUGUGCUGAUUCUCCGCUGAGUACACAAUGGGAUUCACUAGAGGAAAUAGAAGAUAUCAAUGACUGUGACCCUAAUAACUAGAGGUUUACUUUUGGCAAAAUGGUGAAGGGCAGCCAAGGUGACAAUAAGUACUUGGAAGAUGAGCACAGCACAGAUGUGAGAGAUGCAACUGUUGAGGACCUUGAGGAGACCCUUGAGAAGAGAUCAUCGGAAACAGAGAUUUAACCUUAAUCAGGAGUAUACUGAGUGAGCAC